GGGGGGAGGCCGGAUCCUGGGCUGUGUCCCGGUGCCUUGUGCUCCCGGGCCUGCGCUGUUGGAUUCGCGCUCCCGGAGCCGCGCAGCCCCCU
rfam:Canis lupus familiaris chromosome 33, whole genome shotgun sequence.